ACGCCUAACACAUGCAAGUCGAACGAAGUAGCAAUACUUAGUGGCAGACGGGUGAGUAACAUGUAGGUAUCUGCCCUUUGGCCUGGAAUAACACGAGGAAACUUGUGCUAAUACCGGAUAAGUCUUUACAGAGAAAGCUUUAUGCACCAUUGGAUGAGCCUGCACUUGAUUAGUUUGUUGGUGGGGUAAUGGCCUACCAAGACUGUGAUCAAUAGCUGAUUUGAGAGGAUGAUCAGCCACAUUGGGACUGAGACACGGCCCAAACUCCUACGGGAGGCAGCAGUGGGGAAUCUUGCACAAUGGAGGAAACUCUGAUGCAGCGAUGCCGCGUGAGUGAAGAAGGCCUUUGGGUUGUAAAGCUCUUUCGUCGGGGAAGAAAAUGACUGUACCCGAAUAAGAAGGUCCGG
rnacentral:rRNA from 1 species